GGUGGCUGACGGGAGGUGGACGGGAGAUAGGACGAGGGUGUCGGCCAUUUUGUGUCUGUUUCCUGCGGGACGCGGUGGUGGCGGUUGGUUUGGAGAACUCUGCGAGUCUCUUGGGUUUUUUGUUUUUUGAUUUUUUUUUCCCAGCUUUUUUUCGCCUCUCUUCUGCCUGUUGUGUAGGGCGCAGUAAUGGGUCGCAAGAAGAAGAAGCAGCUCAAGCCGUGGUGCUGGUAUUGUAACAGAGAUUUUGAUGAUGAGAAGAUCCUUAUACAGCACCAAAAAGCAAAGCAUUUUAAAUGCCAUAUUUGCCAUAAGAAGUUGUACACAGGACCUGGUUUAGCAAUUCAUUGCAUGCAGGUGCAUAAAGAAACCAUAGAUGCAGUACCAAAUGCAAUACCUGGGAGAACAGACAUAGAGUUGGAAAUAUACGGCAUGGAAGGUAUUCCAGAGAAAGAUAUGGAUGAAAGACGGCGACUUCUUGAACAGAAAACACAAGAGAGUCAGAAAAAGAAACAACAAGAUGAUUCUGAUGAAUAUGAUGAUGAUGAAUCUGCAGCCUCAACUUCCUUUCAGCCACAGCCUGUUCAACCUCAGCAAGGUUAUAUCCCACCAAUGGCUCAGCCAGGACUGCCUCCAGUUCCAGGCGCACCAGGAAUGCCUCCAGGCAUACCUCCAUUGAUGCCAGGUGUUCCUCCCCUGAUGCCAGGCAUGCCUCCAGUGAUGCCAGGAAUGCCGCCUGGAUUGCAUCAUCAGAGAAAAUACACCCAGUCAUUUUGCGGUGAAAACAUAAUGAUGCCAAUGGGUGGAAUGAUGCCACCUGGACCUGGAAUACCACCUCUGAUGCCGGGUAUGCCACCAGGUAUGCCCCCACCUGUUCCACGCCCUGGAAUUCCUCCAAUGACUCAAGCACAGGCUGUUUCAGCACCAGGUAUUCUUAAUAGACCACCUGCACCAACAGCAGCAGUACCUGCUCCACAGCCUCCAGUUACUAAGCCUCUUUUCCCCAGUGCUGGACAGAUGGGGACACCUGUAACAAGCUCAAGUACAGCUUCAUCCAAUUCAGAAAGUCUGUCUGCAUCUUCUAAAGCUCUGUUUCCUAGCACAGCACAAGCUCAGGCAGCUGUCCAAGGACCUGUUGGUACAGAUUUUAAGCCCUUAAAUAGUACUCCUGCAGCAACAACUACAGAGCCCCCAAAGCCUACAUUCCCUGCUUAUACACAGUCUACAGCUUCAACCACUAGUACAACAAACAGUACUGCAGCAAAACCAGCAGCUUCAAUAACAAGUAAGCCUGCUACACUCACAACCACCAGUGCAACCAGUAAGUUGAUCCAUCCAGAUGAGGAUAUAUCACUGGAAGAAAGAAGGGCACAGUUACCUAAAUAUCAGCGAAAUCUUCCUCGACCAGGACAAACUCCAAUUGGUAAUCCUCCAGUUGGACCAAUUGGGGGUAUGAUGCCACCACAGCCAGGCCUGCCACAGCAGCAAGCAAUGCGACCUCCAAUGCCACCUCAUGGUCAGUAUGGUGGUCAUCAUCAAGGCAUGCCAGGUUAUCUUCCUGGCGCUAUGCCACCGUAUGGACAGGGACCACCAAUGGUGCCCCCUUACCAAGGUGGGCCUCCUCGACCUCCAAUGGGAAUGAGACCUCCUGUAAUGUCGCAAGGUGGCCGUUACUGAUCUUACUUCAUCAAGUCUAAUAGGUUUUUAGAAGUGAAGUAUAGUAAAUUUGGUUCGUUAAAUUGUGAAGGCGCUGGAAUUACAUGAACAUACCACCUUAAAUAAAGCCCUGCCAUAGGACAGGCUGAGGCUGAGUCUCAGUGUUGCCCUGUUCAGUCUGAGCAGCAGAAUUUCAGCAUUUGCUACUUACUGGUAGAGAAGAAAAACCCCACAGCCCUGCCAGUACAGGUUAGUUUAAUCUACGAGGAAGUCAUGCACAUCUUGCUUGAAAUUUAACCAGUAAAAGUAAGUUGGAUGGUGAUUAGCCAGUCUUCGAUUGGAUCGUUAUUAUUUUACUUGGGAAUAUUAAGUUUUGUUUAAAUUUUUAAUGAUCUACAUCUAGCAGCCAGUAGUAGAACUGUAUUUUGUGAGUUUUCCCCCACUUUGUUUUUUGAUUGUGAAGUGCCUGAGGGCUUAAGUUUUAUUGCCUUUCACAGAAUGGCGUAGAUACAGUGGAAAUGGUUUUCCGUAAAACCAUCUCUUUAGAGCUGCCUUUCUGCAUGGAUAAGCAGACAGUGACAGUUGGUAAGUAUGUAACUUCCAAUGCAUGUAGUAGUGGUAAAGGUGAGCUCCCAAAUUGUAUUCCAAGAUCAGAAGUGAGGCCUUCUAGGAUUUUAUAUGUACAUCUAACGCUUUCUCCAGAUCUAUGUACUCAUUGAUUAAACUGAAUGCACCUUACUUGUCUGAUUUGGUUUUUGUUCGUUUUGUUUUUAGGAGAUUAUUUGUAUGGUAGUUUAAAAUCUAAUUUUAUAUUUUAAACUUUCUUUGGUGUAUAUCAGUAAGUGGCUCUUUUCCUGAAAACCCAAUAUUGACCCUGAGUUUACUUAACACUCUGUUUUUCAUUUCCAUUUAUGACUAAGCAAAAUAUGGUGGCAAUGGGAGAGAAUCACUCUUAAUUUCUGUAAUGGAGGUCAGUGCAUAAUUUAAGGUUUAUUUAUGUGUCUGUGGUGCACCCACAUGCAGUUUUUUCUUGAGUCCAGAAGGAGACUGUUUGAUUCUUAAAGUGAAGUGGAGUUUCAGACACUUGUAACCUACCAUUGAACAGUCAGCGUUCAUCCCUGAGCCAGUGCUGGUCGGUGUUACAGAGAGAGAGUUUGGUGGUGGGAAGAGAGCUUUCUUGUUUUUUAUGAUUAUGCCCCCGGCCCCCACAGGUGAGAAAUAUCUUGGGGUAUGUAGGUAGUUUGUUUGUAUGUGGUUUCUAGGGAGCCAAUUCAACCUUCUGGGAUUCUGUUGGUAACAAAAGUAUGAUAGGUAAGGUGAAAACGGUCUAAUUUUAUUUCUGAGAUAUAAGUCAUUUUUUUUACAGCAUUGUUUUCUUAAAAGUUAAAGAAGUGGGUAUGCAUGUCUUUAAUUUAGUCUCCAGGUUUACCCCUGACAAGUGUCAGUUGGAUUUGGAGAAAAUGAAGAGCAAAGUCUUGUGGGGGAUGAGAUUGUAUGGAGGAUCUGAGCAUAGCAUCAGAAGGAAGAAUAAAUUUGCUAGCCUGUGUAUGAUUAAAUGGUACAUGAGCAGAAAUUGUUAUGAAUGUCGUUUUUUAUAUAACUAAAUCUUCUAAAGGUAAUUAUAUGCUAGCCUUUAAUUCAUUAACAUUGGAACCUUGUGAUACAUGAAUUUGGUUGAGUUUAUUAAAAAAUAAAAAUUUCCCACACAAAUAAUAGUGUAUGUGAUACUUUGAUGUGUCUCUCUCCUGGCUCAGGAACAUUAAAGUGUGUUCUCCAACUCAAAUACACACACACACGAUUUGCACUUAGCAAGAGAGAUCUCUCUGUAUCCCUGUUGUUAAUGGAAUUUGAUACGUGUGUUCUGCUGACCUGGAACUCUAGAAAUCCUCCUAAGUAAUUUAAUUGCAGUGUGUAUUUAAUGUUUUCUGUUUUUCCAUAGCCUUUACAUGGAAUGCCAUCCUUCUACCACUGUGCUAGCUACCUCCAGCUCUCUUUUCUCUUACAGUGAAGCUGCAUAGCCUUGGCUGUCCUAGAAAAGUCUGUAGAAUAGGUUGUCCAUGAGCUCCCCUUUCCUCCGCCUCGUAAGAGUGCCACCGUGCAUGCAUAUAAAUUAUAUCCAUGAAUGUGCAGUUGUCUGUAGCGGCCAAAAGAGGUGGUUGGAUCCCUUGGAGCUGGAAUUACAAGUGGUUGUCAGCCACCUCUGAUAUUGAUGCAAGGAACUAGAAUCAGUUAAUUUGUAAGAACAUCUAGUUACCUUAACCACUCAGCCAUCUCUCCAGCUUAAUAAAGGAACGACUGUUUACACAUAAUCUCCACCUCAUAAGCAGCAGAGGCAGGCCAUCCAAGUCUAGGCAUAGAAGCCCUUUCUCAAAAUCUAAGUGAAUUUAAAUAACAUUCUAUUAUAUGUGUGUGUGUGAAUGGGCAUUUUGAACGUAUGCAUGUGUGCUUUCCACAGAGGUCAGGAAAGGAUGUCAGACCUCCUGGGCUGCAGUCACACAUGGUUGUGAGUUGCCAUGUGGGUGCUGGGAACUGAACAUCGCAGUGUUCUUACUGUCUCUCAGCCCUGAGACCAAGUCUUAUUAAAAGGUCUAGGCUGUCUGUUCUAAACUUAAAAUUAUAUUUCAGCCUCUGAAAUAGUGUUUCACAGACCUCUACUACCAGAUCUUUAUUCAUAAUGCAUUGAAACAUUUUUGUGCAAUUCAGUAGCUCAUUAAGAGUAAGUUUCAUUUUCACUCUAAAUAAUGAAAGAGUGAGUUUGAAAUCUGAAUGAAUCAUGAUGUUCUGUUCUAAGAUACCUCUAAGAUAUAAUGAUUAUAACUUUUAAAUACCAAAGAUGUUUUGGACAGCAAUUUUGCAGGCGAAAUGUAGUUAGUAAAUAUUUAGUGAAAAUUGGGACUUAGGGGGUUUUGCUUUGUGUGGCUGAGGAGUUGGACUGACUUGGUAAGAUUACUUACCAACCCUGUUACUCAGCCACAUCCAUGGCUCAGUGCUGUUUUAAGUAACUCAUUUUUGACUGAAUCAUGUGCUGGGAUUGUAAGGUGUUUAGUAUGCCUUGUCAAGUUUUAUGACCCCUUUAAACAAGAGUCAAUGAUAAGUUCAAUGCCUUGUUAUAGGUUUUACUUUUGUAAAAGUUUCAAAUAGUUAAAUUGUGAGUCAAACUCUUGCUAUAGGUAGGAAGUAAUUACACGUUCAAGGUCAUUCUCUACUGCACGUGGUUUUGAGACAGUCUUAGCUCCCCAUUACAAUAAAGUACCAGGGCUAGAGAGAGAUGGAUGGCUCAGCAGUUAAUCUGACUGGUCUUCCCAAGGUCCUGAGUUCAAA